CAACUACUCCCUCUGUCCGGAAAUACUUGUCCUAGAAAUGGAUAAAAAUUGAUGUAUCUAAAACUAAAAUAGGUCUAGAUACAUCCAUUUCUACGACAAGUAUUUCCGGACGGAGUACAUU
rfam:Triticum aestivum genome assembly, contig: Triticum_aestivum_CS42_TGACv1_scaffold_158019_2DL